ACGCUAUGCACAGUGAAUUGCUUAUAAUGCAAUCAUGUAUUUAUUCAAAUUAAUAGGUUUUGGAUCAUUUAUCUGCAAUGUUUACAAUAGUGGGAUCUAAAAUCGUGUUUGUUUUAAUUUGCUGUAAAUUAGUUGGUCUUUUUGUAAGUGCCGAAGGAAAUACCAGUUCUUCAAGUUCUGAUGGAACUAUUUUAGGUGCUGUUCUCGGAAGUAUAUGUGUAAUGUUAGUGGUUGUUACAUGUCUUAUUAUCGUAGUUUGCUGUAAGUCCAAAAUGUGUUCUGUACAACCAAAUGAAGACGUUCAAAGAAAUACAACUAAUAUUACAGUGAAUCUUGAUCGCCCGCCUUUAGGACCUCCUAGGUACAGUUCCUUGUUUCCUAGCACUAGACUUCCACCAUUGACGAAUACGACUAACCAAUCUAUAGAUAAUAACACUUUUGAACAGGAACAUACGGUUAAUGCUACAAGUAGUUCCUUGCAUGGACAUUCUAUCCGACCGUCAUGUAUACCAGCAAUAUCACCUCCUUCAUAUACUCCAAAUAUUAUCUCUACACCAGAACUGAGAGAUUGACUGAAUUAUUUUUUUAUAACUUUAAGAUAAGAUAAAUUUGAUUACGACAAAGAAAAGAAACUGUUUACAUGUAUUACCCAUGUGGUAUUGGCAGUGUAAAACUAUAUGUUCCUAGGUAGUGGCCAUCUUGGAUUUUAGAUCGUCACUAAGAUCACACAUUUUAAUGAAUGUGAUGGCAUCCUCUGUUCACAAAACUGCGUCAGUCUGUAAUUGUUUCGUGACCUUAAUCAAUAAAGGUAUAAAAUACAUAUAAAGUUAAGUAAUAAAUUAUGUCCUUCAAAUUACAAAUUAAAUCAUUAAUUUUAGGUAAAACUAUAUUAUUCUUCAUAUCUGUUUGCGGUUCCAGAGAGGCUGUUUACAUAUAAUGCCAAAAUUAUCAAAUGGUAAACAUGGUUUAAGUUGGCAGUUAGAUCGGCAUCAAAAUCACGAUUUUUUAAUAACAAACAAAUCACCAUUUAUGCAUUAUAUUACUGCUGGUUCUAAAUAGAAGCAGUUGUCAUGUUUUCCCAACAGCUCCCAAUGGGUAAUAAUGCUAUAAUAAGAUAACUUCUGCAAUGAACGAUAAACAAAUAGAUAAUAAAUAAAUAAAUACGCUGAGGCGGUGAUCUUUUCUAGAUCGGACAGAAGAAUCACUAAUUUUUAGAGUAACUUACAAAGAUUCUGUAUACAUUUUAGUGGCCUCUUACACGGAAAGUAAGUUUAAGACAAUCAUAUUUCGUCAUGGUAUCAUGCUUCAGUGUUACUAUUUCUCAAAAUAUCAAACAAUGCAAAGCAUUAACGAAAUUGUUCGAUAAAUCAGAUCAAACUUCGUGAAUACAAUCCCUUAAUGUGCCCGUGUUAAAUAAUGUCAGCUAAUAAACUUCUUUUAUCGUUUUGUUUUAUGUACAUUGUAGCAUUAUUUUUUUUUACUGUAUAAAAAUAUACCUUCCCAAUUUUCCUAAAAUUAUCUGUAACAAAUUCUAGCCAGCUAAAAAUAUAUAGUAUUGCUAGAGAUACUUGACCAAUGAAACAGUGUUAUGUUUGUCAGGUUUACUUCUUGUAAUGUCAUUCUCUUUCUAAAUUCUUGUUAUGUUUCUACCUUAUCAAGCGGAAAUUAUUGUGUUUUUAAAAAAUUAUAUAACAUAUUUGUGAACAGCCUACUUCAUAAAGUUCAAAAUAUAUCUAUCAUACUAGUAUGUUUAUCACACAAUGGUAUGUUGAAAAUGUCGAAAUCUUGUGCCGCUCGGCUGAUGAUUUAUUAAGAGCCACUACCUAUCGAUCUAGAAUAAAUGUGAUUGUUUGUGAAUAUGUACAAACAGGAGGAAAUUGAGUAGACUUAUGUUUUUGUGUCAAAGUCAAAGUUUCAACUUUGUCCUUAUGUAUCGAGUACCAAUAACUGGGUCAAUAACCGGCUGGGUUAAACCAAAGACUUCAAAAUUGUUUAUUUUUAACUGAGUAAGAGCAAAGACUAGUCGGUCCAGAGUCAAAAUAAUGUGUACGGUAAGGGUGACAAGUCUUCCUGUGGACCGUUACAUUACAAACUAGUGCAUUAAUCAUCUGGCUUAGUGAGUAGGUCCUGUACAAAGCAGGUCUCAUAUUCAUAUGACAUUAACAUAUUCUCGUCCUGAACAUGCAUUUAAUUUGCCACUGGAUGUUAAAGAGCCAUCCAUCAUUAUCACCAAACACGUUCUCACUGUAUUCAAUUACCAGAGGUGACAGAAUGCGUUCAUACGUACCUAACGAAUUCAUAUAUAAAUCUUUUUACAUAAAGAUAUAUGUCAUUCAAUUGAAAGCUUACUGACGUAAUUAAAUAUAUAACAUAAGUGUUUAGCCAACAGAAUGUGGAUAAUAUUAGGUAAUACUUGAUUUUACAACAGUCAAAUUAUCACAAAUAUUUUGUAUUCAAAGAACAUUACAGAAUAUAAUGACGGAAGAUUAUAAUCUUUAUAUCAAACAAUGUUUUACACCUAGUUGUGUAAUAUAAAAGGGUAAUUAUUUACAAAGAGCUUAAUCAAGUGGACUGUGACGCCGCCCAAUGAAAAAGAUUUUUUUAUUUGUCAUUUCUAAAUAGUUCAUCCAUUAAAUUAUAUAAGUCAAUAUUUAUCUACAUGUACUCAAUAACUAUACAUGUACAUGUAUGUGAGGUUUUAAAUAAAAUGUUAAGAUGAUACUAAUUGUGUAUGUGUGCUCAUGUGUUAUUCUGACAAAUGUGAAAAGUGCGGCCGGAUUAUGCAGCAACUCUACUAAAGAAUUGAACUUUUGCAAUCUCGAUGCAGGGACCAUUGUUGGCAUGGUAAUUGGUGGAAUAGUGGCAAUACUUUUGAUCGUCAUUGUUAUUCUCCUUGCUUGUUCACAUAUACGGAUGUUGGAAAAUGGUGACAAUCUGAUACAUGAUUUAACAGUAUCAACUAAUCCAUUGGGACGCUCAGGACAACCACCGCGAUAUACCAGACGUACUAACAACAGGAAUACCGAACAACCAACUGAGCAACCGGUGACUGUGUAACAUACUGCUUUGGAAAGUUAUGUUAUUAAACGUUUUCAGGAAAAAGACAAAAAUACAACGUCGAGAGAAACGUGAGAGCAAGAGCGAGAGAGAGAAAGAGAAAGACUUUUUAAAAUUUUUUACAAUGCUUGUGCAAUAUACUUAUUACAGCUAUUAAAUAAGAAAAAUAUUUUAA